CCUCCUCAGCCUUACUCCAGGGCCUUCUUGCCUGUAGAGUGACCUGGCAUUGCCUGAGGAUAGAUGACGGAGCACAUGUCCCUCCCCGGAAGGAGUCCACUUUCUCCUGGGGCCUACACAUCGCGCUGACAGU
rnacentral:snoRNA from 1 species